rnacentral:rRNA from 1 species
CCUACGGGAGGCAGCAGUGAGGAAUAUUGGUCAAUGGACGAGAGUCUGAACCAGCCAAGUAGCGUGAAGGAUGACUGCCCUAUGGGUUGUAAACUUCUUUUAUAUGGGAAUAAAAUGUUCCACGUGUGUGAUUUUGUAUGUACCAUAUGAAUAAGGAUCGGCUAACUCCGUGCCAGCAGCCGGGGUAAUACGGAGGAGCCGAGCGUUAUCCGGAUUUAUUGGGUUUAAAGGGAGCGUAGGUGGUUUGUUAAGGCAGUUGUGAAAGUUUGCGGCUGAACCGUAAAAUUGCAGUUGAAACUGGCAGUCUUGAGUACAGUAGAGGUGGGCGGAAUUCGUGGUGUAGCGGUGAAAUGCUUAGAUAUCACGAAGAACUCCGAUUGCGAAGGCAGCUCACUGGACUGCAACUGACACUGAGGCUCGAAAGUGUGGGGAUCAAACAGGAUUAGAUACCCUAGUAGUC